rnacentral:rRNA from 1 species
UACGGAGGAUGCAAGCGUUAUCCGGAAUGAUUGGGCGUAAAGCGUCCGCAGGUGGCUGUGUAAGUCUGCUGUUAAAGAGUCUAGCUCAACUAGAUAAAAGCAGUGGAAACUACACGGCUAGAGUACGUUCGGGGCAGAGGGAAUUCCUGGUGUAGCGGUGAAAUGCGUAGAGAUCAGGAAGAACACCGGUGGCGAAGGCGCUCUGCUAGGCCGUAACUGACACUGAGGGACGAAAGCGUGGGGAGCAAACAGG